GCGAAAUCGAUCGCUCCGGUUCUGAAAAGCAAAUCUCCAUCGGUCCGGAACGGACUGGCCCAUCCAUCAACCGACCAGAACCAGUGAGACACGACCGGGUAAACAAACCCGGUUAAGAAAGAGGAAUAGAUUAGGUAAGCCACGAACUGAGUCCGUUCAGCGAUCGAACCACUCGUGAUUCCAGCCGCGGCUAUAGCAAAGGCCCAUUGGUAGAGAAAAUUGGAAUAAUCAGCAGUGGCCGUGGGGAUAUCUUUGAGACCAAAGUAGUGUUUACCAAUGAAACCAUUGGACGGAGAUCCAAAGGCAAAAGCAUAGCCAAAUAGAUAGUAAAAGAGACCUCCGGCCGCAGCAUCAAGAACGUUGGUAAGCAUGAUGUUCAUCGUAUUCUUGGCUCUUACGGA
rnacentral:lncRNA from 1 species